rnacentral:rRNA from 1 species
AUGGGGUCUCGGCAGGACCAGCCCGCCGUCAACGGGGAGCAAGGUAAUGGCGCGGGGGCAGCCUAUGUGCGGUACAGGGAGUGCCAGCGCAACCAUGCCAUCGGAAUCGGCCGGUAUGCCGUCGACGGCUGCCAAGAGUUCACGGUGUUAAUGGGCGUCGACGAGGCUGCCAUGCUCCUCUGUGCGGCAUGUGGCUGCCACCGCAACUUCCACAGGCGCGAGGUCGUCAACGAGUUCGGCGCCGACUACCAUGCUCCUCGGACGCCCCCCGCCAACGAAAAUCGCCAUUGA